rnacentral:misc_RNA from 1 species
CUGGGUCAUGACUUAUUGAGCCAGAUGGAGCCGUUCAUCCAUCAGGUUUUGACAUAUGCCCAGCAGUCGAAAGAACAGGCCAGCAUAGAACAAGAUAAACUUGCCAAAAGAAUCCAAGAGUUUAGGACACAAGCUGAGCUGAAUCAUUUGCGGGGAUCUAGUAACCUUGGUACUUCAACUAGUUCUAUAGCCUCAAAUGGUGUUGGUAUGAAUUCAGACAAAAAUAUAGAAGCAAUUAUGCAGUCCAGUGCAGAAGGAGCGGUCCAAACAAUUAAGCAGGGAUAUCUUUUGAAAAGAUCUUCUAGUUUGAGGGCAGAUUGGAAGAGGCGGUUCUUUGUACUUGACAGUCUUGGCAAUUUGUACUAUUACAGGAUCAAGGGUGCACAGAUGGGCUCCCCAUCAUCUCACCCUUCUGGUGUUGAUAACCAUAGUAGUGUAUUUGGCAGAUUUCGGACAAAGUACAGGUCGUCAUCCGCUGGAGAGGAGAAUUUAGGCUGUCGUACUGUUGAUCUUCAUACUUCUACAAUAAAACUGGAUGCAGAGGACACAGACCUGAGGCUUUGCUUCAGAAUUAUUUCGCCAUUAAAAUCCUAUACGUUGCAGGCUGAAAGUGAAGCUGAACGAGUUGACUGGAUGAAUAAAAUCACCGGAGUGAUUGCGUCCCUUCUGAAUUCUCAUCUACAGAAGUUUGAUGCUAGUAAAAAUGACAUUGAUGGUAGCAAAAACACCUAUGCUGCUUCUUUGAAUGUUCAAGGGGCUGUUAAUGAUGAAAAAGCCCUAGCUUCCGUAAGAGUCAAUCAGCCUGAUUCUGUUUCUAAGAUUCUCAGAGAAGUUCCUGGAAAUGACAAGUGUGCUGACUGUGGUGCUUCAGAACCUGAUUGGGCUUCUCUAAAUCUUGGAAUCCUAAUUUGUAUAGAGUGCUCGGGCAUUCAUCGGAACCUAGGUGUUCAUAUUUCAAAGGUAAGGUCCAUAACGUUAGAUGUCAGAGUUUGGGAGCCUACCAUCUUGGAUCUAUUCCGCACAUUGGGUAAUUCUUAUUGUAAUUCGGUGUGGGAGGAGCUGCUUCAACUUCCAAAUGACGAAUUAACAAAUGUUGAUGCUAUUCAAUCUGCUUCCAAGCCAAGCCCCAAAGAUGCCUUUCAUGAAAAGGAGAAGUAUAU